CCUACGGGUGGCAGCAGUGGGGAAUAUUGCACAAUGGGGGAAACCCUGAUGCAGCGACGCCGCGUGAGUGAAGAAGUAAUUCGUUACGUAAAGCUCUAUCAGCAGGGAAGAAAUACUGACCUUACGGUCAGCAGACGGUACCUGAGUAAGAAGCCCCGGCUAACUACGUGCCAGCAGCCGCGGUAAUACGAAGGUAGCAAGCGUUGUCCGGAAUUACUGGGCGUAAAGGGGGCGACGGUGGGCGCUUAAGUCAGGUGUGAAAAAUCCGGGCACAAACUGGAGACUGCACUUGAAACUGGGUGGCGUGAGGGCAGGAGAGGAAAGUGGAAUUCCGAGUGUAGCGGUGAAAUGCGAAGAUAUUAGGAGGAACACCAGUGGCGAAGGCGGCUUACUGGACUGUAACUGACGUUGAGGCUCGAAGGCGUGGGGAGCAAACAGGAUUAGAUACCCUUGUAGUC
rnacentral:rRNA from 1 species